rnacentral:rRNA from 1 species
UACGGGGGGGAGCAAGCGUUGUUCGGAUUUACUGGGCGUAAAGGGCGCGUAGGCGGUCAGCACAAGUCAGUUGUGAAAUCUCCGGGCUUAACUCGGAAAGGUCAACUGAUACUGUGCGACUAGAGUGCAGAAGGGGCAACUGGAAUUCUCGGUGUAGCGGUGAAAUGCGUAGAUAUCGAGAGGAACACCUGCGGCGAAGCGGGUUGCUGGGCUGACACUGACGCUGAUGCGCGAAAGCUAGGGAGCGAAGCGGG